UAUUCUAGUGGCCUAGGACACCGCCCUUUCACGGCGGUAACAGGGGUUCGAGUCCCCU
rnacentral:tRNA from 1 species